GACGAACGCUGGCGGCGUGCUUAACACAUGCAAGUCGAACGGAAAGGCCCUGCUUUUGUGGGGUGCUCGAGUGGCGAACGGGUGAGUAACACGUGAGUAACCUGCCCUUGACUUUGGGAUAACUUCAGGAAACAGGGGCUAAUACCGGAUAGGAGCUCCUGCUGCAUGGGGGGGGUUGGAAAGUUUCGGCGGUUGGGGAUGGACUCGCGGCUUAUCAGCUUGUUGGUGGGGUAGUGGCUUACAAAGGCUUUGACGGGUAGCCGGCCUGGGAGGGUGACCGGCCACAUUGGGACUGAGAUACGGCCCAGACUCGUACGGGAGGCAGCAGUGGGGAAUAUUGCACAAUGGGCGGAAGCCUGAUGCAGCAACGCCGCGUGCGGGAUGACGGCCUUCGGGUUGUAAACCGCUUUCGCCUGUGACGAAGCGUGAGUGACGGUAAUGGGUAAAGAAGCACCGGCUAACUACGUG
rnacentral:rRNA from 1 species